rnacentral:tRNA from 1 species
GUUUUAAUAAUUUAUACAAAAUAUUGGUCUUGUAAACCAAAAAAGAAAAUUUUCUUAAAACU